rnacentral:tRNA from 1 species
GCGCGGUUAGCUCAGUUGGUUAGAGCGUGUCUUUGACGUAGACAAGGCCAAAGGUUCGAAUCCUUUACCGCGCA